GCCGCUUCACCCAUCACUACUCCUCACUCUCAAACCGAAGAAGCCGAGGGAGAAGGCUCUCUGCUCCUCCGGCGCUCUCAAUCUCGUAACCGGCCGCGAAGAAGAAGGACGGCAGCAAUCGUCGUCGAGCCGCGGUCAUCUCCUCCCUUCAUGCGUUCCCUUGUCUACUCAGGAUGCCGGCUUCAUUCCUCUAAGUUUCAUCCCAUUUGGUGCAGCGGAUCGUCGGGAACGCGGACCUCACCAUCGUUGCUCCGGAGCGCGCACCGAGUGCCGCCGUCGGGUUCUCGUCGUCGUUCCGACCGCUGUAGACCAAGCCAAGCCGAGCCGUCGCGCCAACAUAUUCUCCUUGAAGUCCUCCUCAAAACCCUUCAAGAAUCCCAGGCAAUGGCGCAGCAAGUGCGGAGAUCGGCCACCGUCUUCUUCACCUCCGGUCGCCGUCGCCAUUGUCGAUUCCGCCUCCUCCGUUCUUGGAGCCGAUUGAGCCGUCGCCGUUCACCCCGGAGGUUCUUGCCGCCGCCGAGCCGUUACACGAGCCGCCGUCGUCAACCUAGCUUCGCCAGCCUUGUUUUACAUCUCGGACUUGAACUUAAUGGGGUAAACCCCUAGUCGGUGUGCUUGAGGAUUGGGUAGUCAAGCUUCCGUUGUUCUAUAAACUAUAUUCGGCUAGUCGGCCUAUGUAACUAUGAAAUAGUUGUGAUUUAGAUCAUUGGCUAGUCGGCCUAUGUAACUAUGAAAUAGUUGUGAUUUAGAUCAUUUUCGUCUUAAGUGUAUUUUGCUA